rnacentral:misc_RNA from 1 species
GAUGAAGAACGCAGCGAAAUGCGAUAAGUAGUGUGAAUUGCAGAAUUCAGUGAAUCAUCGAAUCUUUGAACGCACAUUGCGCCCCUUGGUAUUCCAUGGGGCAUGCCUGUUCGAGCGUCAUUUGUACCUUCAAGCUCUGCUUGGUGUUGGGUGUUUGUCUCGCCUCUGCGUGUAGACUCGCCUUAAAACAAUUGGCAGCCGGCGUAUUGAUUUCGGAGCGCAGUACAUCUCGUGCUUUGCACUCAUAACGGCGACGUCCAAAAGUACAUUUUUACACUCUUGACCUCGGAUCAGGUAGGGAUACCCGCUGAACUUAAGCAUAUCAAUAAGCGGAGGA